GCACCGCUAGCUCAACUGGCAGAGCAUCUGACUCUUAAUCAGAGGGUUCUGGGUUCAAGUCCCAGGCGGUGUACCA
rnacentral:tRNA from 1 species